CCUACGGGAGGCAGCAGUGAGGAAUAUUGGUCAAUGGGCGAAAGCCUGAACCAGCCAAGCCGCGUGAGGGAAGAAGGCGCUAUGCAUCGUAAACCUCUUUUGCCGGGGAGCAAAAGACGGGACGCGUCGGGUCCUGAGGGUACCCGUAGAAACAGCAUCGGCUAACUCCGUGCCAGCAGCCGCGGUAAUCCGGAGGAUGCGAGCGUUAUCCGGAUUUAUUGGGUUUAAGGGGUGAGCAGGCGGAGCUUCAAGCCGGCGGUAAAAUCGUGGGGCUCAACCGCGCCGAGCCGUUGGAACUGGGUUCCUUGAGUGCGGCGGAGGUAUGCGGAAUGCGUGGUGUAGCGGUGAAAUGCAUAGAUAUCACGCAGAACCCCGAUUGCGAAGGCAGCGUACCGGCGCGCAACUGACGCUGAGGCACGAAAGCGUGGGGAUCGAACAGGAUUAGAUACCCUGGUAGUC
rnacentral:rRNA from 1 species